rnacentral:rRNA from 1 species
GGUCGGAAUUGCUAGUAAUCGCAGAUCAGCAUGCUGCGGUGAAUACGUUCCCGGGCCUUGUACACACCGCCCGUCACACCAUGAGAGUCGAUAACACCCGAAGCCUGUAGUCUAACCAUAAGGAGGACGCAGUCGAAGGUGGGAUUGAUAAUUAGGGUGAAGUCGUAACAAGGUAAC